rnacentral:rRNA from 1 species
CAUGUCCUUUUGAUUAUGAUUUAAGGUUUAAUCUGCUCAAUGAUUUUUUAAAUUGCCGCAGUAUUUUGACUGUGCGAAGGUAGCAUAAUAAUUAGCUUUUUGAUUAGAAGCUGGAAUGAAUGAUUGGACGAGAAAAUUUCUGUCUCCUUUUUAUUUAUUAUUGAAUUUUAUUUUUAAGUUAAAAAGCUUAAAUUUUUAUAAAAGACGAGAAGACCCUAUAGAGUUUUAUAUUUAACUAAUAUUUAGGUUUGGUAAUAUUUUUAUUAUUUAAGUAUUUGGUUGGGGUGACUUGAAGAUUUGUAUAAUUCUUUAAAUUUUUAGUUAUUGAUUUUUAAAUUUUUAUAUCUAAUUUAUUAAAAUUAAUAUAAAUUACCUUAGGGAUAACAGCGUAAUUUUCUUUAAAAGUUCUUAUUGAAAGGAAAUUUUGCGACCUCGAUGUUGGAUUAAAAUUAAUUUUUGGUGCAGUAACUAAAAAAUUAGGUCUGUUCGACCUUUAAUAUUUUACAUGAUCUGAGUUUAGACCGGCGUGAGCCAGGUUAGAUUCUAUCUUUAAUUGUUUAGUAUAUUUUAGUACGAAAGGACCUAAUAUGCAUUUAAUUAAAUUG